AUGAUGAUGCGGGCGAAGAAGGAGAAGACGACAUAGAUAUAGUCUAUCGAGUUGGUGAGAUGAUUCUCUAACUGCUAAAAUCCUCCACUACAGCUCUGUAAAAAGAAUUGAAGGGGAGAUCUAAACUUAAGUGUGCAGUGUGAGCCACCUCACAAGUGUGGAAGAAAAUGAACACGAGUUUCACCAGAGAGGCUUUUCUGUUCAGUGCCAUCUGCAAGGUCACACUGUGGUACGCAUUGUUUGCCUAUUUGGGUUCAUCCAUCACACUCUUCUGAAGUAAACAGUCAUUCUAGGUGAGUCAAGACCCUGCUACAAAUGAGAUGGGAGAAACCACAUUCACCCCCGCUACCAGAAAGAACGAUACUGAAAUAGCUUCAA